GGAACAGUGGUCCAGGGUGCAGAGCUCCAUCUACCUGCAGAUGGCCCCUUCCGUGCACCACCUCCUGGGAGGUCUGAGUGGCUGAGGCAGUGAUCCCCCCACCCAGCCCUCCAGGAGUCCGUGGUCCCGGAGCUCGGGCCCUGGGGUGGGGCUGCCUGCAGGCGUGUGACAAGGUGUGCUUCCCCAAGGAUGAUAAGAUCCAGGGAUGGGCAGAUAGCUGGCGCAGCCAGACUUUCAAAACAAGCAUAUACAGAAAAUGAACAUUGGCUUCUCCUGUCUCUCUUAAGCCCAGGGCUGUCUGUUUACAAAUGUGGUGUUUUCUUCUUCUCCCUUCUCAUGCCUGAAUCUGUUCAGGAAUGUCACAUUCCAGCCUUUCUGGGCCGACCACAUGUCACAGUGGCAGCCGUGGUAAUGCCGAGCAUCCUGGAAUGUGGCAUUUCUGAAUGAGUCAGGCAGGAGUACCAGGCGUUCAAGAAGCAAAACCUGCCUCACGCUCCUCUUCCGUCAGGGGACCCCAGGGCUCCAACCCUUCGGUGGGGGUAUUUAAGAUUCUCGAAGACCACAUGCAAUUUACUGUCCAAUUUGAAGGAAGGAUCGAUAUCUAACAAUGGCAUUGCAAUUCUCUUGGGCUCACGUGUCACCAAAGAAUCUCUGAUACAAUCUGUCAGGGAAGCCCAUUCAAAGAGCCUCCUUGGGCUGAUACUAACAGCCUAAGAUCCAAGCUCCUAGAGGACAGCCCUCUGGCCCAUUACACCGAAUUGUCUUGGCACUUUGCCAUGGGGGUUAAGACCAUGUGACUUGGAGUCAGACCAACCUAGGAUUCAAGACGAUCUCCACUACUUUGUUCUUGGGACCUUGCAUGGACUGGUCGAUUUCUCUACCCUCAUCCGCCCACGUGCUCAUCCAAUAAAGAGGCUGAAAACAGUGGGAGGGAAUAGAAGAAUAUUGAGUGUCAGACGUGUCCCUAACCCUGCCUCAGGAGGCAGGCGGCCAGGGAGGAAGGGGUUAAACUCAUGGCCCCACUCCAAGGGAGAAGCAAGCUGGGCUCCGGCAUCAUCUGCACUUGAACUCGAGUGUCUGCCCUUCCCCAUCACCAGCCUGGCUGAAUGUUGCCCAUGCUCUGGGUCUUAUCUUGGACUCCAUCUCCCCCAGGAUCCCCUCUGCCAGACUCCCCCAUCAGAGCACCCAUCACGCUGCCUUCUGACUGCCUGGCUCCUUGCUCAUCACUCAAGUGGACCUGAGGUCAGGACCAGAGAUCAGGACUCCAUACAUCUCAUUUUCUUCUGUGUUCCUAGCAGCUAGCUCAGUGCCUGGCACUUAAAAGGUGCCCGGAACUGUUCCUUAAAUAAAUAAAUGAAGGCAAAUAGGUUACUCUGACCC
rnacentral:lncRNA from 1 species